rnacentral:misc_RNA from 1 species
GUGAAUCAUCAAAUUUUUGAACGCAUAUUGCACUCUCUGGUAUUCCGGAGAGUAUGCCUGUUUGAGGGUAAUUAAAAAGAAUCUUUACUAAUUUUUUUUGGGCGUUUGAAAUGAGUUUUCGUCGUUUAUAGCGGUAGCUUGAUUUAAAUGGUCAAGUUUCAUUUUAGUCGAGACGCGUACUAAUAUUAUUUAGCGAUAUCUUCAUUAUGUGAAUAUAAAGUUUUGAUGCAUACACCUUUGGUUUGUAUGCGAUUAAUACAAAAAUUUUGC